rnacentral:rRNA from 1 species
UGGGGAAUUUUGGACAAUGGGCGCAAGCCUGAUCCAGCCAUGCCGCGUGCGGGAAGAAGGCCUUCGGGUUGUAAACCGCUUUUGUCAGGGAAGAAAUCUUCUGAGUUAAUACCUCGGGAGGAUGACGGUACCUGAAGAAUAAGCACCGGCUAACUACGUGCCAGCAGCCGCGGUAAUACGUAGGGUGCAAGCGUUAAUCGGAAUUACUGGGCGUAAAGCGUGCGCAGGCGGUUUUGUAAGACAGAGGUGAAAUCCCCGGGCUCAACCUGGGAACUGCCUUUGUGACUGCAAGGCUUGAGUGCGGCAGAGGGGGAUGGAAUUCCGCGUGUAGCAGUGAAAUGCGUAGAUAUGCGGAGGAACACCGAUGGCGAAGGCAAUCCCCUGGGCCUGCACUGACGCUCAUGCACGAAAGCGUGGGGAGCAAACAGGAUUAGAUACCCUGGUAGUCCACGCCCUAAACGAUGUCAACUGGUUGUUGGGAAGGUUCCUUCUCAGUAACGUAGCUAACGCGUGAAGUUGACCGCCUGGGGAGUACGGCCGUAA